CCCCUACGGGGCGCAGCAGUGGGGAAUAUUGCACAAUGGGGGAAACCCUGAUGCAGCGACGCCGCGUGAGUGAGGGAGUAUUUCGGUAUGUAAAGCUCUAUCAGCAGGGAAGAAAAUGACGGUACCUGACUAAGAAGCCCCGGCUAACUACGUGCCAGCAGCCGCGGUAAUACGUAGGGGGCAAGCGUUAUCCGGAUUUACUGGGUGUAAAGGGAGCGUAGACGGAGGAGCAAGUCUGAUGUGAAAAUCCGGGGCCCAACCCCGGAAGUGCAUUG
rnacentral:rRNA from 1 species